CGUAUGCAGCAGCUGAAACCGUGAAGAUAAGAUAUAAGAAGAUGUGUUACAAGUGCCAAUGAGACAACCCUCCGUCCAAGUCAAAAUGUGUAAAAAGUAAACCAUAAUACUAGUAGGUCAAAGUACGGACUUCAACACGAAGCCUUGGCUCACACCAAACAGGAAUUGCAUAACAAAGCACGAAAAACGGCUCAGCAUUUAGGCACUUAGCUGGCCUCAAACUCCAGCCUAUCAUAAUGCCGCCUUUUACACAUAUGUUUAUAAUUGAGGAUGACUAAAGGGAAAUUGUCAGAGACAACAACCCGACGAAAGUGCAGAAAACAGCGGAAGACCACAAAUGGGUCUUCAAUACAGCGAGCAUAUCCUGACCAUAUGAAACAUUUUGUUAGUUACGGCCCUACGCAUCAUUUGAAAUCUGUGGGUAGUUUUCAUUCGGCAAUCCUCGGUAUAGAAUCCGCUACUUAGAUGAGGGUAUGGAAUCGGCCGAGUUGAGACGAAUGGGUAGUUGUCUCACGUACAUCAUCCUUUAUUUAUAAUGUGACAAAUUCUAAAAUAUAAAAAAAUACGAAGCUGUACACUAAAAAGCUAAGCUCACAGGUGUAUCCUGGAAACAGGCCAGGUCAAUGUUUGAUAAAACUUACACUUUUAAUACAUACGUGAAUAUAAAUCAACAUUUAUUAAUAGGGGACUGCUUGUGACUGUGAAUGAAACAUUUAUUAUUA
rnacentral:lncRNA from 1 species